UACAUCAACAGACUGACAGGUGAUCUCUGUUACAUCAACAGACUGAGGAGGAGGGACUAACAGGUGAUCUCUGUUACAUCAACAGACUGAGGAGGAGGGACUAACAGGUGAUCUCUGUUACAUCAACAGACUAACAGGUGAUCUCUGUUACAUCAGCAGACUGAGGAGGAGGGACUAACAGGUGAUCUCUGUUACAUCAACAGACUGAGGAGGAGGGACUGACAGGUGAUCUCUGUUACAUCAGCAGACUGAGGAGGAGGGACUGACAGGUGAUCCCUGUUACGUCAGCAGACUGAGGAGGAGGGACUGACAGGUGAUCUCUGUUACAUCAGCAGACUGACAGGUGAUCUCUGUUACAUCAACAGACUGACAGGUGAUCCCAGUUACAUCAGCAGACUGAGGAGGAGGGACUGACAGGUGAUCUCUGUUACAUCAGCAGACUGACAGGUGAUCUCUGUUACAUCAGCACACUGAGGAGGAGGGACUGACAGGUGAUCUCUGUUACAUCAACAGACUGACAGGUGAUCCCUGUUACAUCAACAGACUGAGGAGGAGGGACUGACAGGUGAUCUCUGUUACAUCAACAGACUGACAGGUGAUCUCUGUUACAUCAGCAGACUGACAGGUGAUCUCUGUUACAUCAGCAGACUGAGGAGGAGGGACUGACAGGUGAUCUCUGUUACAUCAACAGACUGAGGAGGAGGGACUGACAGGUGAUCUCUGUUACAUCAACAGACUGACAGGUGAUCCCUGUUACAUCAACAGACUGACAGGUGAUCCCUGUUACAUCAACAGACUGAGGAGGAGGGACUAACAGGUGAUCUCUGUUACAUCAGCAGACUGAGGAGGAGGGACUAACAGGUGAUCUCUGUUACAUCAGCAGACUGAGGAGGAGGGACUGACAGGUGAUCUCUGUUACAUCAGCAGACUGAGGAGGAGGGACUGACAGGUGAUCUCUGUUACAUCAACAGACUGAGGAGGAGGGACUGACAGGUGAUCUCUGUUACAUCAACAGACUGACAGGUGAUCCCUGUUACAUCAACAGACUGACAGGUGAUCCCUGUUACAUCAACAGACUGAGGAGGAGGGACUAACAGGUGAUCUCUGUUACAUCAGCAGACUGAGGAGGAGGGACUAACAGGUGAUCUCUGUUACAUCAGCAGACUGAGGAGGAGGGACUGACAGGUGAUCUCUGUUACAUCAGCAGACUGAGGAGGAGGGACUGACAGGUGAUCUCUGUUACAUCAACAGACUGAGGAGGAGGGACUGACAGGUGAUCUCUGUUACAUCAACAGACUGACAGGUGAUCCCUGUUACAUCAACAGACUGACAGGUGAUCCCUGUUACAUCAACAGACUGAGGAGGAGGGACUAACAGGUGAUCUCUGUUACAUCAGCAGACUGAGGAGGAGGGACUAACAGGUGAUCUCUGUUACAUCAGCAGACUGAGGAGGAGGGACUGACAGGUGAUCUCUGUUACAUCAGCAGACUGAGGAGGAGGGACUGACAGGUGAUCUCUGUUACAUCAGCAGACUGAGGAGGAGGGACUGACAGGUGAUCUCUGUUACAUCAACAGACUGAGGAGGAGGGACUGACAGGUGAUCUCUGUUACAUCAGCAGGCUGAAGAGGAGGGACUAACAGGUGAUCUCUGUUACAUCAGCAGGCUGAAAAGGAGGGACUGACAGGUGAUCUCUGUUACAUCAGCAGACUGAGGAGGAGGGACUAACAGGUGAUCUCUGUUACAUCAACAGACUGAGGAGGAGGGACUAACAGGUGAUCUCUGUUACAUCAACAGACUGAGGAGGAGGGACUAACAGGUGAUCUCUGUUACAUCAACAGACUGAGGAGGAGGGACUAACAGGUGAUCUCUGUUACAUCAACAGACUAACAGGUGAUCCCUGUUACAUCAACAGACUGAGGAGGAGGGACUGACAGGUGAUCUCUGUUACAUCAACAGACUGAGGAGGAGGGACUAACAGGUGAUCUCUGUUACAUCAACAGACUAACAGGUGAUCCCUGUUACAUCAACAGACUGAGGAGGAGGGACUGACAGGUGAUCUCUGUUACAUC